AAAAAGGUAAGCUAAUAUUUAAGCUUUUAGGCUCAUACCCUAAGAAUGAAAGUCAAUCUUUCCCUUUUUA
rnacentral:tRNA from 2 species